UCCGUUUUUAAGGCGAUUUGAAUAUAUAUAUAUAUGUCUGGAUCGAAUUGAAUCCGGAUUUGGCGAUCCGACUCGGGAAGCUGAAUCGAAUCUAAAACAUUCAUUAUUUCAUAUUUACCUACCCUUCAAGCAAGAAAACGGAGACAAAAGUCGAACGAGAAUUGUAGUGAAAAAGUGCGAAAAGGAAAACACUAUAUGAUAGAGACAAGUGCAACACCAUUUUACAAAAGAACAAAACGUCAAAAUUAAUAAAACAAUAAAAAAAAGUAAGAAAGCGAGUGGAAGCGAAAGUAAUAAUUCAAAGAAAUUUUAUAUAAAAAAAUAAAAAAAACUAUCUCUCUAAAAAAAGAGCAGCUGUGGCCGAGGUUUGGGACCAGAUUUUGAAAAAAAUAAGAUGUUUCGCGUAUAAAUAUCAACUGCUUCUUACAAACUGCCGGCAGGUGGUCCGUUGCAACACGUGGCAGAUGUAUAUAUGAGUGUGUGUAUAUCACAGUAGCUUCGAUAUAGAGAAUCUAACAUGUCUGAGCGUGAAUCAAGAAACUAACUCUUUUCGUCAGUGGCGCAAAGCUACCCCCGCCGGGGCAAAGUAAACCCAUGUUACGGUAUGGGUUAGAAUGCAGCAAGGCGAUUUCCAACAAAAAAAUAAUUAUCCAUAUAUUGUUUAUUAUGCAUUCAAGGUAUGAUUUCAAAGUGUGUUUUUUAUUACCACCGGUCUUAAAAAGGGCCAGAAUCUAAAGCUAGAUAGUCAUCACUUUGAAAGCCAUCACCAGUUUUUUACACACUAAUUUUUUUCAUAAAAAGUCUUCGAAUUCAUUUUACAAAAAAAAAAAUAAAUAAAUAAAAGUUCCACAAAAAUUUAGUAAUUUAAGUCGCCAACGCAUAUAGGGUCAAUGUGGGUAAAUGUAAACAGGGGUAAAUGAAAACAUGGCUCAUAACAAGCUUCAGUUAAAUCUAUUUGAUGCAUACAUAAGUACAAAUCGCGGACGCAUGUAUCUUUUACGUCAAGCUCAUUGCUGUCAAGAGAGAAUUCAUUCGACGAGCGUAUUUUCCGUGAAAGAUAAUUUUUUGAAGUGCCAAAC